AGUGGCGAACGGGUGAGUAACGCGUAAUCAACCUGCCUGGUAGCGGGGGAUAACUAUUGGAAACGAUAGCUAAUACCGCAUAACAGUAGAUAUCGAAUGAUAGCUGCUUGAAAGGUGCAAAUGCACCACUACCAGAUGGACCUGCGUUGUAUUAGCUAGUUGGUGAGGUAACGGCUCACCAAGGCAACGAUACAUAGCCGACCUGAGAGGGUGAUCGGCCACACUGGGACUGAGACACGGCCCAGACUCC
rnacentral:rRNA from 1 species